UACGUAGGGGGCAAGCGUUGUCCGGAUUCAUUGGGCGUAAAGAGCGUGUAGGCGGCCAGAUAGGUCGGUUGUGAAAACUGGAGGCUCAACCUUCAGAGGUCGACCGAAACCAUCUGGCUAGAGUCCGGGAGAGGAGAGUGGAAUUCCUGGUGUAGCGGUGAAAUGCGCAGAUAUCAGGAAGAACACCGGUGGCGAAAGCGUUCUGCUGGGCUGCGACUGACACUGAGGGACGAAAGCUAGGGGAGCGAAUGGG
rnacentral:rRNA from 1 species